GAGAGCGUGAGGGCGACCAUGCUGGGCAUCCUUUGCUUGGCCAAAACGUGGGGUGGCCACAGAUGCCUCGGUAGAGCGAGGAGGUAUCCAUGCUCAGAAAUUAAGGUCUGCAGAAGCCUUUAUAUAAUGCAUCGUAGCAGGUACUCUGAGAUAUGUUACAAGAGAAACUUAUUUGUUGGGUAUUCUCAGAUUUAUCUUUUGUAUUGUCAGUUCACUUGUGUUUCCUCCUCCAACUAGGACUAGCAUCAUAGCUGAUAAAUUUACUUCAGUUUUUCAAUCAUGGACAUGUACAUUUCACAUUCUGUACCACGUUACGUUUUGGAGGAAGGAAAAGGGGCGGGUGGCUAGAGAUGGUCAUCUCGUCAUGUGACAAGGACUUCUUCCUACUCGCCAUCUCUCUGCAACCAGGACCUCGGGUGCGGUCUCGUCCCUUUCACGACUUCAGGUUGUCAUUGCUCGUUGCUAUUGAUUACAUGUUUUUCCCCAAUGGGUGCUUCCUCCACGAAGACAUGCCUAAGGAGUUGAGGUGCAACAUGAACCACUAGGUGGCUAUUUAUAUCACCAUACAACAGACAUGAAUUGUUAGUUGGAAAUUAAACCACUGCAUUAGCUGAACUAAAACAUUGUCACUAUCACAUGUUUGGACUCCUGUACGCAAGAUGAAAAGGACUUGCAACCCUCGAUUGCUCGAGAUGAUGAUCAAGGUUAGAAGAUGUGGAGACUCAACCAGUGAAUGGUACCCUAGAAGCAUUGCUAAUACCUGCUAGUGCUUUCCCACGGUGUCAUCUAUCACCUACUGUUCACAGCUUUUCCCACAACAUGUAUGCCUUGCUGACAUAUUGAAUAGUGGACCGAUAAGUUCCUCUAAGGUAUCAUUCAAGGAGAGGAGUGGAAUGAGCCUGAGUUAUCCGCUCGUGGCAGGAGCAUGAUGAGUUGACAAGCAGAUGUCGAGAGAUGCAUAGGGUGGGAAGCCCACUACCGGGAGUCCGAUGAUGGAGAC